rnacentral:snoRNA from 1 species
AGGCAGCCCCUUUUUCCGAUCUCAAUGGCAAUGGAGGUGUUGCGUUUCUCGGAGAACAAAUCUUUUGAUCUUCAGGUCAGCUGAGAGGGGAUCACUUUCCUUUGUUGAGGCUGUUCUAGUAAGUCUCAAGAACAAC